UAACAUAUAGUUUACAACUCAUGAUUAUCAGAAUAAAUCGGAUGCUGUUGGGUAUUUUUUUAUAGAGAUCAGAAAUGGCAGCCCUAACUGUUUAUGCCUCAAGCUGUCGUCUGAGACGAUCCCUUUACACCAGCUUCUGAAAGUGGUGGUCAUUCCACCCACGGACGGUUGCAAAAAAAUUGAACUGAUAGUCUUUUUGAAGGAUAAGGAAAAAGUAUGUGUGGAUCCAAAGAGCAAAUGGCUACAGAAUGCCAUAAAUAAUUUGCUAAGAUUGCCAAGUGCCCCAACAAGAAAUCCUGCUAGACGCUUGCUCAACUAUAUGUAAGAUCGUCUGAGCUCAUCUUCCUUCGCAUUAAGAAUUCUCACUUCUUUUACUAAUUUUUUUUAAAAAAUUCCAAUGAAAGGCUCUUUCUAGCCACUUCUUCCUAGAAACAAAUUGCCAAAAUGACCUUUCUGAAGCAAUUCAGCAACACAUUAGCUUCUCUCUAGGAAGCAAUCCAGUGCUUGAUUUACAUAUACUUAGUCAACAUUAGUAAAUAAGUUUCCUAGAAAUAUUUAAAGGUUCUUUCAUAUCAAUCUUAACCAGUAGUAGAAGUGAGGCUGACCAUGCAAGAACCCUAGUUGUCACACAAAGACUUUCCUCUAAAUGGAAGAAUAGCUUAGAUAUCAAAUUGGAGCAACCAGCAUGAGUUAGGAAGGGAAGCAAGGAAUCGUUUCUUCACCUGUGGGUUUCUGAAAUUACAAAGCUGCCCACAGAAUUCACAUAAUUUUAAUUGGAUUGUCCAGACAAAGUCAUGGGCA
rnacentral:lncRNA from 1 species